GACGAACGCUGGCGGCGUGCUUAACACAUGCAAGUCGAACGGAAAGGCACUGCGUUUGUGGGGUGCUCGAGUGGCGAACGGGGGAGGAACACGUGAGUAACCUGCCCUUGUCUUUGGGGUAACUUCAGGAAACUGGGGCUAAUAUAGGAUAGGAGCUCCUGCUGCAUGGUGGGGGUGGGAAAGUUUCGGCGGUUGGGGAUGGACUCGCGGCUUAUCAGCUUGUUGGUUGGGUAGUGGCUUACCAAGGCAUUGACGGGUAGCCGGCCUGAGAGCGUGACCGGCCACAAUGGGCCUGCGGUACGGCCCAGAGUCCAACGGUGGGCAGCAGUGGCGAGUAUUGCCCAAUCGGCGGACGCCUGAUGCAGCGACGCCGCGUGCGUGAUGACGGCCUUCGGGUAAUAAACCGCUUUCGCCUGUGACGAAGCUUGAGUGACGGUAAUGGGUAAAGAAGCACCGGCUAACUACGUG
rnacentral:rRNA from 1 species